rnacentral:misc_RNA from 1 species
CGUAAAGGUGCAUGAGUGGUGUUUGUUAUGUUGCUGGUGGUUGGCUCUUUGCUUGUGCAACAACUUCCACCUGACAUACCUUUUCAUCUGACUGUUAAGGCUUCUAUUGCCAAAACAGUUUGUGGGUUUCUUGUGUUGCCUACCUAUCAUAAGGUACUUUUGUUGGCUGGUAUAAGUUUGUUUUGUCUUGUCUUGUUCUAUAUGAGAUCAGAUGAACUAUAAAGGCAUCUCUUUGAACCACACAUCUAAUGCUUGUGUGAUGUUGUGGUGCAUUGAUGUUUGCUUGGUAUCUUUGAUAUGGAAAUUGAUGUGGGCAUGGGUUUCAUGAGUUCCUUUUAUGUCCUGGUUUAGGGUUUACGCUUCUCUUAAACGACUGUUCAACUCGCAUUGGCUCGUACCAGUGUGUUGGGUUCUGUCGAAGAGGAAAGU